AGAAAUAGUAGGGAAGACUUAGUUGUGGCGGUUGCCACAACCCUAGUCCUUGACUCCAAGGCGAGCGCCACAAUUUUAAUGUUGAGCACCACAAACUCUUCAUGCUUGGUGGCGGGCGCCACCACCCUCUUUGGUUCAUGUGGUAGGCGCCACAUAUCCAGGUGAUGGGCUCCACAAGCCCAUUUGGUGUGGUGGCUCAUUAUCUCGAUUUUUCUCCAUUUUCUUCUCUUUUUCUUUCCUUUUUUCUAUUUUCCACUUUGCUUGCUCGUAAACCUUUUAUUCGAUAAAUACCUGCAAUAAACGUAAAAUACUGCGUAAUAAUAAGUGUUAAUCAAGUAAAAAGGAAUGCAUAUGAAGUCAAAAAUAUGAUACAUUUUCGUGUUAUCAGCCAUAUAAAACCUUACUUCUGCAAAUUGUGUGGCUAUCCUAAACCUGCUUCACAACUCAGAAGAAAGCAAACCAUGGUGAAGCCAAAGAAAAGAUAGAUUCC
rnacentral:lncRNA from 1 species